GAGUAAUACUUAGGAAUCUACCUAGUAGUGGGGGAUAGCUCGGGGAAACUCGAAUUAAUACCGCAUACGACCUACGGGAGAAAGGGGGCAGUUUACUGCUCUCGCUAUUAGAUGAGCCUAAGUCGGAUUAGCUAGAUGGUGGGGUAAAGGCCUACCAUGGCGACGAUCUGUAGCUGGUCUGAGAGGAUGAUCAGCCACACCGGGACUGAGACACGGCCCGGACUCCUACGGGAGGCAGCAGUGGGGAAUAUUGGACAAUGGGGGAAACCCUGAUCCAGCCAUGCCGCGUGUGUGAAGAAGGCCUUUUGGUUGUAAAGCACUUUAAGCAGUGAAGAAGACUCCGUGGUUAAUACCCACGGACGAUGACAUUAGCUGCAGAAUAAGCACCGGCUAACUCUGUGCCAGCAGCCGCGGUAAUACAGAGGGUGCAAGCGUUAAUCGGAAUUACUGGGCGUAAAGGGAGCGUAGGUGGCUCGAUAAGUCAGAUGUGAAAUCCCCGGGCUCAACCUGGGAACUGCAUCUGAAACUGUUGAGCUAGAGUAUGUGAGAGGAAGGUAGAAUUCCAGGUGUAGCGGUGAAAUGCGUAGAGAUCUGGAGGAAUACCGAUGGCGAAGGCAGCCUUCUGGCAUAAUACUGACACUGAGGCUCGAAAGCGUGGGUAGCAAACAGGAUUAGAUACCCUGGUAGUCCACGCCGUAAACGAUGUCUACUAGUCGUUGGGUCCCUUGAGGACUUAGUGACGCAGCUAACGCAAUAAGUAGACCGCCUGGGGAGUACGGCCGCAAGGUUAAAACUCAAAUGAAUUGACGGGGGCCCGCACAAGCGGUGGAGCAUGUGGUUUAAUU
rnacentral:rRNA from 1 species